CGGGAGGCAGCAGUGGGGAAUUUUGGACAAUGGGGGAAUCCGUGAUCCAGCCAUCCCGCGUGUGCGAUGAAGGCCUUCGGGUUGUAAAGCACUUUUGUCAGGAAAGAAAUCGCCCGGGAUAAUACCUCGGGUGGAUGACGGUACCUGAAGAAUAAGCACCGGCUAACUACGUGCCAGCAGCCGCGGUAAUACGUAGGGUGCAAGCGUUAAUCGGAAUUACUGGGCGUAAAGCGUGCGCAGGCGGUUCGGAAAGAAAGAUGUGAAAUCCCAGGGCUUAACCUUGGAACUGCAUUUUUAACUACCGGUCUAGAGUGUGUCAGAGGGGGGUGGAAUUCCGCGUGUAGCAGUGAAAUUCGUAGAUAUUCGGAGGAACACCGAUGGCGAAGGCAGCCCCCUGGGAUAACACUGACGCUCAUGCACGAAAGCGUGGGGAGCAAACAGGAUUAGAUACCCUGGUAGUCCACGCCCUAAACGAUGUCAACUAGCUGUUGGGGCCUUCGGGCCUCAGUAGCGCAGCUAACGC
rnacentral:rRNA from 1 species